CUAACAACUUGUAUACUUAUUGAAAUUAAGUUAGAAGUAUUACAAUUUAGAAGUCUAGAAAGUAGAAACCAUGAAAAUACAGGUAAGUGCCUUGAAAAGACCAUUCAAGGAUGAAGGAACUAAAGAAAAACAUCCAACAACAACAUUGUCAAAAAAGAAAAAAUUAGCUAUAGAAAAAUACAAAUCUUAAACCCAAACUUAUAAACUGAAAAUACCAUUGCUCCUCCUUGUAUUAUUGGAAAAAAACAUCUAGGCUAUUGCCUGUCUAAUAAUCUCUUCAUGAAAAUAAUUUUCAAUACAUCUUACAGAGAUAAAAUAUUUCGAUGAACCAUCUAACAUACCUUUCACGUACAGUAUCGCCUAGCACCACCAUAAUCAUAGUUCAAAUUCCUCUUUAUUUUAACCUCUGUAAGUUGAAUCAAGUAGGUCGCAAUUGAGAAAUCUGCAUCUAUAGAGAGUCAACACAUGGAUGGGUUCUAAUUCUCACCUUUAAUACAAAACAUUUGAUUAAUCGAUUCCUAUUCAAAUUGAGACUCUUUUAGCGAGACAUUUUCAAGCCAGAAUACGCG
rnacentral:lncRNA from 1 species